CAGCACGGAGCAGCAGAGGAUCAAACCCAGGCUGUGAUAAACCAGAUAUGAUCCCAUAUCCAAGGGGCUCCUUCCAGCAUCCACGCUCGCUCGGGGAAGUUGGAGGACGGAGAGCCAGAAAGGCACAUGACGAGAAAACCCGGUCCUUUGCUUCGCUUUCUCAUGGCUGAAGAUGCGGGCAGCUCCCGAAAGGCAGCGGAGGAGCCCAUGUGAAGAAGCGGAGCGACUUCGGCUUCGCUCAGCUCCUCAACCCCCGGUGCUGGUUGUUUUCCGCGUGCAUCUGUCUCAGAGCAGAAAAAUCACAUCCAUAUGUCAAA